CGUGAGAUCCCGGAAGCCUAGGGAACGCAGUGACUGAACCGGACCUGGGUCGCCUCAGUCAGCCCGAGGGCUAUUGGAGAUACAUGGAUUUGAAAACUUUGGGGAUUGGAUAUAUGAGGAGAACUUGUUAAAGAUAAGAAAGCAGACACAGCCAAGAAGAGGCAACCAGGAUCAGAACCCAGUCUUUCCAGCCUCAAUCCACCAGCCUCCAAAGCCCGUUCUCUUCCAGAGGAAACAAGUUCCUCUAUGGAAGUUGGAUGAAAAAUUGUCAUUUGGCUAGCAAUAAGUGAAA